CUGCCAGUUUUUUCCGUUUAGGUCGGGCUUUGGGGGGAGGGAUCGCUUAAUGGGCCAUUCGACACUCAAAUAUAACACGCUGCUUGCAGCUCUGUGACAUUAUCAAAGUGUGAGGACCGGCCUUCCGGAACCCGCAGCCAGCGUAGUCUGGUCCAACGACUACAAGAUAUAUGGCCAUGGAUAAGCUUCCUGGUUAAGAUAUAGUCUCCUCCGGCAGAGCAAUCUGCGGGGCUUAGUGCAUUAAAUCAGUUAUCGUUUAUUUGAUAGUACCUUACUACUUGGAUACCUGUGGUAAUUCUAGAGCUAAUACAUGCUAAAAACCUCGACUUCGGAAGGGGUGUAUUUAUUAGAUAAAAAACCAAUGCCCUUCGGGGCUCCUUGGUGAUUCAUAAUAACUUAACGAAUCGCAUGGCCUUGAGCCGGCGAUGGUUCAUUCAAAUUUCUGCCCUAUCAACUUUCGAUGGUAGUAUAGUGGACUACCAUGGUUUCUACGGGUAACGGGGAAUUAGGGUUCUAUUCCGGAGAGGGAGCCUGAGAAACGGCUACCACAUCCAAGGAAGGCAGCAGGCGCGCAAAUUACCCAAUCCCGACACGGGGAGGUAGUGACAAUAAAUACUGAUCCAGGGCUCUUUUGGGUCUUGGAAUUGGAAUGAGUACAAUUUAAAUCCCUUAACGAGGAACAAUUGGAGGGCAAGUCUGGUGGACACUUGAGUGUUCCAGUAGGUCAAGAUAUUUACUAUCCCCCUGCUGACGCCAGUUAUAGAUUGAUCUCUGGGCCGUUCAAGGCCUUCGAGAUUGGUUUAGUAGGGGUCUAUCCUCUGCGAGGUACUUGGUACGGGGAAGGGUCUCCUAGAGGCUUCAUCCCGUGGCUCAAGGCUUUCGAGCCUUGGGCCUUAACGCGCGCCAAGGUACCGGUCGACCUCCUUGGAGGUUGAUUUGAGGUACGUGCUAAUCCCGCCUGUUAUGGGUGUGAUGUGCUUUAUCAGAAGGCAUCUUAGGGACAAUUAAUGGCCAGCAGCCGCGGUAAUUCCAGCUCCAAUAGCGUAUAUUAAAGUUGUUGCAGUUAAAAAGCUCGUAGUUGAAACUUGGGCCUGGCUGACCGGUCCGCCUCACCGCGUGCACUGGCUCGGCCGGGCCUUUCCUUCUGGGGAACCGCAUGGCCUUCAUUGGUCGUGUUGGGGAUCCAGGACUUUUACUUUGAAAAAAUUAGAGUGUUCAAAGCAGGCCUAUGCUCGAAUACAUUAGCAUGGAAUAAUAGAAUAGGACGUGUGGUUCUAUUUUGUUGGUUUCUAGGACCGCCGUAAUGAUUAAUAGGGAUAGUCGGGGGCAUCAGUAUUCAAUUGUCAGAGGUGAAAUUCUUGGAUUUAUUGAAGACUAACUACUGCGAAAGCAUUUGCCAAGGAUGUUUUCAUUAAUCAGUGAACGAAAGUUAGGGGAUCGAAGACGAUUGUAUUUGGUCGUCCAUAGUGAGUAGCAUCAUCUAGUUGGGGGUCACUUUCCCUGCGGGGGAAUGCCCCUGGCCACAUCACCAAACUGAUGGGGCUCCCUCGCCAUUUCCGGCGGGGUGAAACCCACAGCCAAGCUCUUCGGAGUGCAGUCUACAGACUGAAUGUUGAUGGGCAGGUCUCAAGGGACCCGUUUCUAAUAUAGCCGAGUCCCCCAGGAGUUUCCUUCUGGAGGUGUUUUACGCAGAUACCGUCGUAGUCUUAACCAUAAACUAUGCCGACUG
rnacentral:rRNA from 1 species